rnacentral:tRNA from 1 species
GCCAAAAUAGCUCAGUUGGGAGAGCGUUAGGCGAUACAUCAAAAAGUCCCUGGUUCAAUCCCAGGUUCCGGCA